GGCAUGAAAUUGUCGAGAUGGCUAGGAGUGUGGACUUUGAGAAGGUCGAUGAGGAAAAUGUGGCUGACCUGCUUGAUUCCCAUAGGGAAGAACCCUCAAAUGAGGAUCUUCUUGAGCUGGAUAGGGAGCACCAUGAAGAGAGAGAGCCCAUGGAAGAAAAUGAAACGCCCUCCCCUCGAGUUCUCAUGAUGAAAGGCAGGGCUGAUGCGUUCAAACUUUUGGGUGGCUACCUAGCCUUCUUUGACAAAAAGGACCCCAAUCGUGAAAGAAGUGCUAAGGUUGCCAGGCUGAUGCAGGAAGCCAAUGCCUGCUACACGGAGCUUUACAGGGAGAAGCGGCGCUGCUCAGUGCAGUCUUCCCUGGACAAGUCCUUCAGGAAGCGGGGCAGCACUAUCUCGACUCAAUCAACCGACUCUCAGCCCUCCACUUCUGGGGGAGAGAUAUCACUACCAUUGUUUGACGUGUUCGACCUGGAUGAAGACUUGGCUCCCCAUUGAUGGAUGGAUUGAAGAUUGUUAUACAUUCAUUUUGUAUUUUUUGUGUUUGUUUCUUAUAAUGUAACUGAAUAGAUAUGUUUACAAUAUGUUUUUGUAACGUAAUAAAUAAGUAUUGGUUGAACGGUUUUAUUUUGGUACCUUCAGUGUCAUAAAUGCGAGGUCUAAGGAACGCAACCCCUCGCUUUUUCUAUUUUUUCCUGUGGGAAAGUUCACCUGGAGUCAUGCAAAUUCGACAUAUGCAAGGUUUCUCAGGAACACAAUAUACCGUAAGUCAGGAGUCUACUGUAGUAGGCAGUAAAUAAGGCAGGUCCUAUGCCUUGGACAAGAAGAAAUCAAGAUCUUGAAUCUCAGUCACAGAGCAAGCCCUAAUCAUUCUGCACACUAACAGAAGCAGAGGUCAUGCAGGGAAACGUGAGCAGGUAAUUAAGGGCUGUAUAACAAGGUGCGCGCCCUAGGAGACAAACGAAGGUUGAGCAUUGGCUUGUCCAAACCCUUCAGCACUUGACUUUGCAUCCAUAGACUAUUGGUCAUGCACAAAAAAAAAAACAUGAAAAAAGCAUUACUAGCACCCAUUUGAAGUCUAGUUGCCAGGCUGAGGGCUAUGCCACCACUUGCUUGGAAAGGUGGACAGACAACCAGAUCUGAAGUUGCCUUUUGACUGAUGUCUUUUGCUUUGCCAUGUAGGAAGGGCCUGUUUGGGAGACAGUUGCACCGUUCAGAGUUUGGGGCCUUGUCUCAGCUGGAGCAGGCAGGAUUGUGAAUCAGAACCCAACUGAGAAUCAAAACUGGGAUCUCUGAAUCUUUUAUAUAAAUGCAUCACAAGGGUAGGUUGCUGCCCAGGGAGCAGGAAGUUAUCUAGCCCAGUUGUAAAAGCGCCUCUAUGCAAGAGUGUCAUAGCAUAAGAUAAUGCUCUCUAGCAGCUGGGUGGGCCUGUGCUAAUGUAUGCUUCUGCUAAACAUCCAGUCUGAACAAACAUGUGCACACCCUUGGUGAACACUCAGAUACCAGGCUCCCUCCCAGCUUCACCAGGGUGCUAGGUGUGUAGCAAAUAACACUUUUCCUCUCCAAACCUUCAUUUCUUUCCUUUUUUCUAGCUGCAGUCUGGAAGUCAGCUUUGUCUCUGGCUGAUACUCUGCAGCAUAGGCAGCUUGGCUUUCCCUUGCCACAUGUGCAGGUCUUGGGGCCAAAACUGUCUCAACCUGUUCUCAAACUCUAAUGGGACGGAGCCGGGCGUGGAAUGCGAGUGCCUAGAGGGCCACUUGGUAAGCAGAACUGGUGCUGUGGGAUGAUCCGAACCCCAGGUUAAGGUGCCCAAUGCCAAUGUUCAUCAAACCCCAGAAAAGGUGUUGGUUGAUAUAAACAGCAGGUCAGUGGCUUUGGACACUGGAAUCUGCUAAGGAGUGUGUAACAAUGCCCCUGCCAAAUCACAUGCCCUGCAAAUAGAUGGCUCUGGAGCUUCGGGCCCCUACCAACCAUCACCAGUGAACAGGCUUGGCAGAAUCAGUGGGGAAAGCAGACCCUGUUGAGCUUAACUCUAGUCUGGCACCGUGAAGAGAUGAGAGGUGUAGAAUAAGUGGGAGGCCUCCAGGCCACUGGUGAAAUACCACUACUCCUAUCAUUUUUUCAAGUACCUGCUGAGGUUGGGGGGCAAACCCCAAGGGUCUCUUGCGUGUGGCUCCACACACCUGGGACUUGCUGGGUGCAGCCUGCUCCAGGGACUGUCAGGUGAGUUUUUUGUGGGGCCGUACACCUGUCAAACUGUAACACGGGUGUCCUAAGGUAAGCUCAGGAAGGACAGAAACUUGUUAUGGAGCAGAAGGAGGAAGGCUCACUUGACUUUGAUUUUCAAUAUGAAUUUGCACCAUGAAAAUGGGAACUUGCAAUCCUUCUGACUUUUUAGGGUUUUAAGCAGGUGUCAGAAAAGUUACCGCAGGGAUAACUGGCUUAUGGCAGCCAAGUGUUCAAAGCAAGAGCCCUUUUUGAUCCUGUGAUGUCAGCUCUUCCUAAGGUUGCGGAACAAGAUUUACCACACGUUGGAUUGUUCACCCGCUAAUAGGGAACGUGAGCUGGGUUUAGACUGUCGUGAGACAGGUUAGUUUUACCCUACUGAUGAUGUGUUGUUGCAAUAGUAGUCCUGCUCAGUACGAGAGGAACCGCAGGUUCAGACAUUUGGUGCAUGUGCUUGAUGAGCCACUGGGAUGGAGCUCCCAUCUGUGGGAUUAUGACUGAAUGCUUCUAAGUCAAAAUCCCCCCUAAAUAUAGUGAUACUGCAGUGCCUUAGAGCCUUGGUUGGCUGGACAAUAUCUGGUCGUCCCCUGUGGAGGGGCAGGGCCUGGUGCAGGGAGCCGUUUGUCUUGGGAGCAGAGCGUGCACAGAAGGAAGCUGCCUCUCACCCAUAGCAUGUGCCAUGUUC
rnacentral:rRNA from 1 species